rnacentral:lncRNA from 1 species
AUGGCGGCUCUAAGCCGUGCUCACUCUCCUGCCUUGGGCGUGCAUUCCUUUUCAGGGGUGCAGAGGUUCAGUCUUUCAAGCCAUAACCAGUCUCCAAAGAGACAUAGCAUUUCUCAUUCUCCAAAUAGUAAUUCCAAUGGUUCCUUUCUUGCACCAGAGACAGAGCCAAUUGUUCCUGAAUUGUGCAUUGAUCAUUUGUGGACAGAAACAAUUACUAAUUUAAGAGAGAAAAAUUCACAGGCCUCAAAGGUAUUUAUUACAUCUGACCUAUGUGGACAAAAGUUCUUAUGCUUUUUAGUUGAGUCACAGCUCCAGUUACGCUGUGUAAAGUUUCAAGAGAGCAAUGAUAAAACCCAGCUCAUCUUUGGCUCUGUUACCAACAUACAUGCAAAGGAUGCAGCACCAGUGGAGAAAAUAGACACCAUGCUGGUCCUGGAAGGCAGUGGAAACCUGGUGCUGUACACAGGCGUGGUUCGGGUGGGGAAAGUCUUUAUUCCUGGCCUGCCAGCACCUUCCCUGAUGAUGUCCAGCACAAUGCCUCGGCCUAGCACACCACUGGACAGUGUUAGUACUCCCAAGCCUCUUAGUAAACUACUUGGGUCAUUGGACGAGGCGGUAUUGUUGUCCCCAGUUCCAGAACUGAGGGAUUCUUCAAAACUUCAUGAUUCUCUCUAUAAUGAGGAUUGUACUUUCCAACAGUUUGGAACUUACAUUCAUUCUGUCAGAGAUCCCGUCCAUAACAGAGUAACUCUAGAACUGAGCAAUGGCUCCAUGGUUAGGAUCACUAUUCCUGAAGUUGCCACCUCUGAAUUAGUACAAACAUGUUUGCAAGCCAUUAAAUUUAUCCUGCCAAAGGAAGUAGCAGUUCAGAUGCUUGUGAAGUGGUACAAUGUCCACAGUGCUCCGGGAGGACCCAGUUACCACUCAGAGUGGAAUUUGUUUGUGAUUUGCCUCAUGAAUAUGAUGGGUUAUAACACAGACCGCUUAGCAUGGACCCGAAAUUUUGACUUUGAAGGAUCACUUUCUCCUGUCAUUGCUCCCAAAAAAGCAAGGCCUUCUGAGACUGGAUCUGAUGAUGUAAGCAUUGUUAUUUCUUGGCAGUAGAAAUUAAUUUAUGGGUACUUGUACUGAUCUUCCACAUCUGUGGUGUUCCUAUCAAUUUGUCUGUUUCCAGCACCUUCUGCUUUAUUUAUUUUAAUAUUGAAUAAUAGUUAUUUUGAGUGGUAGGAUCUGUUUUGUAAGGUCAUUCACUUUUAUCUUCAUCAUCUCCAAAUUACUAUAAAUUUCAUUCAGCACAGUGUGUUAGAGAUUCAUCCAUAUUGUUGCAGAUU